rnacentral:lncRNA from 1 species
GAAGUAAGAAUGUCCAUUUGUCCAUUAAGAACCAAGUAUAUGCCCUAUGAUACGGAAAGAUUUCGACAACAUAUUGUUGAGUGGAAAAGCAGGUUGCAAAACAGCAUGCAUAGUAUGAUCCCAUUUAGGUAAAAUUAUAUAUAUAUCACUCAAGAUAUUUGUAUCUCUUAGCGCUUUGUUCAGCCAGCCUGUAAAGAGACCCUACUACGUGUUAGGCUCCAGCUAGGAGGAAAAAGAGAAACAGAUGCUUAGAAGGCAUCAGAGGCAGAAGCAAGGCCACAGUGGCAAACAUGGGGAGAGAGGCACAUGUGUCUGCCUGAUUGCAACAGGAACCGGGCCAGAGGCAGAAAGGCAGGGAGAAGAUGGACCAGUGAGGAGGAAAGAUGAGGAGGUGCAGACACAGGUACUUGGUAUGGGCACCAUGUCUUGGCUC